GCUAGCCACAUAGUGUGGCCAACCACAUAUAAGAGUUUGUGUAAUUUAAGGUAAAAUUGGUAUAAGCCACCUUUUUUGAAAAAACCACCUUUUACGUUUUUUUUUUUUUUUUUACUAAACCACCUUUUAAGUACAAGUUUUUAAUGGCACCACCCGUAUUUCAAAUUUAACGAAAAUACUAACGGCGCUGUUAGAGGGGCCCACCAAUCUCAUGUUUUCCUCUUAAAUCCCACGUUUAGUUAGAAAGACUUAAAUCCUCCUUUUAUAAACUCAACUAAUUCAUCUCUCUCCUCUGUCCUUCACUCUUCUUUGUCACUCAUCCAAUUUAAUGUUGACAAAUUUCUGCCAUUGACGCCAUUUCUAACUCAUUUUCCUUUAAUUAUUAGAUACUUUUUUGUUGGCAAAAGUAAAUCAUUGGAGAAAUGGACAAUAACAAGGGUAAAGGCAAGGAAUUGGAAAAGAUUUAUGGCUUAUUAAACUGUAGUACGGGGUUGCCUAGUGGGGCAAUUGAUGCUCGAAUCUGGAUGGGGAGUUUGAUUUUGUAAAAGUGGAGGUUGAGUAUGUAGGUGGACAGAUGUUUAUGGCUUUGACAUUGUGGGUUAUUGAAUUGACUGUGGAAUUAUUGAGGGAAGAAGUAAUGCGUGUAAUGAAUAUAGUGUAUGGGAAAUCUACACAACAAUUCAGUAUUUGGUAUAGGAUGAAGAAGAAAAAUUUGACAGUUGGGAGGAUGAAAGUGAAGUCUUUGGAGGAUAUAUAUAGGAUUGUUGAUGGUAGGGACAACAAUGGGAUUGUGACCAUUUAUGUGUUGUUUGAAAAUCCCCCGCCCAUGUCACAUACAGUUGGGAAGACCAAGGUGAAGUUAGAAUAGGGCCUUGAUUGUGAGAAUAGUGUUGGGCCUUCUAGAAAGCUCACUACAAACAUCCCAAUGUUUCAACCAGGUAAUGAAAUUAUGUUGAUGGGAGAGGGUUGGACUUAUUUGCAAGGAACUGCACACACAGUGAGCAACCAACAUAUUCUCUGCCAUUUACUCAAAAAAACCCAUUUUGUCCAACAACUUCCAAGUGUGUGGCAAAUCUGACAGCUUAUCAAGAGCAGCAAAAAAACACCAGCCUUUAUGUACAAGCCCCCAACUUAAGCAAAGCUACCUGGAAAAAAACAACCCUUCACUGCCUUUAAACAACCAUCAGUUGUUGCAUCUCAACCAUACACUUUCAAAUCAACACCUAGAACAAAACCUUUCCUUCCAUCUAAACCAUCCAUCUCAGAACCACCAACCACAAGACCUCUUUCUCCUAAAUCUCAACCUCUUACAAUUUUACCAAAAAGAACUACUCCAAGGAUCAAAACAGUUGUAAGUAAGGGGAAAAAAGGAAAUAAAAAGCAACCUACAGAAGAGGAGGACUGGAGUGGGGAAGGGGAUUGUUCUGAUGAUUCCCACUGCAGUGAUCUUGACGUAGAGUUUGAUCCUGAAGAAGAAGAUCUGACAUCAGAUGUAGAAGACAAGGAGAUUGCCAAGGAAAUUAUAACACAAGUCAAUGCAAUUGUGAAACUUGGAGCACAACCACAGGGCAAAGAAGUUCAAAGGGAAGACGUACGAAAGUAGAAGUAGAAGGGCCAGAAUACAGUGAAAAGCAAGAAAGGAGAAAAGUUGAAAAAAGUUCAAAAUAAGGAAGAUCUGAUUGAUUCAUAUGGGGUUGGAGAAAUUGACUUUUGAUUCUGAUGAGCUGAGAAGCGUUGAUGGUUUUGAUGAAGAGGUAGAUUCGUAUCCCACUUUUAAUCCUCUUGUUGACUUCAUUAAGCCUAUAGAUUUGAAGAGAGGUUUGAAAUUCAAUGAUGUUUAUGUAUUGAGAAAAGCUUUGACAGCACAUGCCAUUGAGAACCACUACGAUUUUUACACUUUGAAAACACAUUCACUAAAGUAAUAGCCUACUGUAGACACAAGUGUAAAUGUCCUGGGAUUUGAAACAUGGUAGAAUAACUCUGUGUCAGUGUGAGGAAGAGUAUAAGUGUCCAUACAAAGUGCUUGCUAGGAAAAUGAAGAACACUAGCACCCUUCAAAUCAAAACUAUUAGGUUAGAGCAUAACUGUGGAUGGCAACAAAUAAAUUCAAGGGUCACAUACAUGUAUUUGGUAGAAAGGUAUGUUGAGUUUUGGAGGGCAAAUCCUAAUUUUAUUUUAAAGGGAUUUAUUGAACUUGUGAGGAGGGAUCUAGGGGUUGAGAUAAAAUAUAUUAAGGCAUGGAUGGCUAGGGCAAGGUCCAAGUUACAAAUUUAUGGGGAUUCAAGUGAACAAUAUGCUAAGGUCUUUGAUUAUGGUGAUGUAAUUCUUAAACACAACCCUGGAAGCACAGUGAGCAUAAUUUGUGAGGGUGUUGAGUCUGGUUCCCCUAUUUUCCAAAGGAUGUAUGGCUGUCUUGCUGCCUGCAAAGAAGGAUUUCAGGAUGGGUGUAGGCCAAUUAUAGGAGUGGAUGGAUGUCACCUGAAAGGGGCCUACCCAGGGAUGAUACUAGUUGCUGUGAGUAAAGAUGGGAAUAACCAAAUCUUUCCCAUUGCUUAGGCAGUUGUUGAAGUGGAGAACAAGGAGAGGUGGAACUGGUUCUUUGAUCUGUUAAUUGCUGAGAUAGGAUUCCCACUUGGAGAGGGACUAAGUGUCAUGAGUGAGAGACAAAAGAUUUCCUAGAUGUCAUAGCCACAUGUGUGCCUAAAGCAGAGGUUAGAUUUUGUGUAAGGAACAUAUGGGAAAAUUUUAAGUUGCAUUUUCCUGGUCAAGCAUUUAAAAAGAGUUUUUGGUAUGCUGCAAGAACAAGUUCCAAGAAAACAUUUGAUAAUCAACUACAAGGCAUCAAAUUCUUGUCAGAAGAUGCAUUCAAGUACCUAGAUGCCAUACCUCCUGAGCAUUCGGCAAGAAAUGCUUUCAAGCCAACCUCAAAUUCAAUAUGCUUCUCAACAACCUGUGUGAAACAUUUAAUGGGGUGCUCAAAGAAACAAGAGACAAUCCCAUCAUCACAUGCAUGGAAUGGAUAAGAAGAUAUGUGAUGAAGAGGACUUAUGAGAAGCUACAGUUUGGGGAAGGCAUUAACAACAUAUUCAUGCCUUAUGUUGACAGAGUUCUUGAAUGGGUUGCAAAGGAGGCUCAAGAAUGCACAAUAAUUCUAGCAAGCAGGGAUUUGUGGGAGUUUGGAUAUAAGGAAGACACCUUGGUGGUGAAUCUCAAGGACAGAACAUGUUCAUGCAACAAAAGGGGGUUGACAGGAAUCCCUUGUGCACAUGCAUUUGCGUGCAUUGUGAAAAGGAGGGAGAAUCCAAACAAUUAUGUCCAUCCUUAUUACUCCAAGGAAACAUACAUCAAAGCUUAUACCCCACAUGUUAAUCCAAUGCCUGGAAUGUGCCAUUGGGAGGAAACUGACAACAUCAAACCACUGCCUCCACUUAUGAGUAAGAUGCCAAGGAGGCCAUCUGACAAGAAAAGAAAGAAAGAGUUCAUCAAAAGAACAAAAAGGCAAAACAGUUGCUCAAACUAUGGUGGGUUAGGCCACAAUAGAGUGAAAUGCAAAAACCCACCUAUGGACAAGCCAUUGAAGAAAGUUGGCAGACCACCCUCUAUGGAUAUGUGGACUGUUCAACAAAGAACUAAGAAGAAACUCAUAAAUGACAUUGUGCAGGUAUAGUGUGCAUACAAUUAGUUAAAUGCCAUAAUGUUUUGCAAUAUAUGUUAGUGCAUUAUAUUGUUUAUUGUUCUUAAUUUUAUUAUACAUGCUGCCCUUGGCUCACAAGUAGCUUUAACUAGCAAUGUCCAAUCAGAUGCUCCUAAAGCAUCUCAAUCCACUCAACAAAGCCAAUCUUCAUCAAGAAAGCCCAAAAAAUCAAACGCACAAGUUCAGAUACCUAAGCUUCUUGUGAAGUCCAAAGCAAAGAAGAAGAAGCUAACUGACUUAAAGUAAUUUGAUUAUGUACAUUAUGGUCAUAAGUACCACUAUCUUAUUUGAUCUAUGUGGUUAGGUACAUUUGGAACAACUUAAUAUAUGUUUUUCAUACAUAUGUUUGUGACUGCAAUGGGCAUUGCCCUUGAGCUUUAUGUCACUUGUAAUGACUGAUUUACAGGUUUGUUGCCCUGUGAUAUGCUAUGGUAUUUUGCUCCUCAUGAAAGAUUCAUGAUUACCCUUGUUUAGUUAAAUGCCAAUGGCAAUUUUAGCUUAAUAACAGUAACUACCAAUGUUAAUUUCAUAAAUCAAAUUCAUAACAGUAAUACAUGUAGGGUUGUUUCUCACUAAAUUGCUUCAAAUAAGAGUUACAAUACAACAACCCCUAAUGCUACAUAAAGUACACAAUCUCUUAUAACUUCGGCUAACAAAAAUCAAAUAAAUAAAAACAAAUAAACCGCACAUUUUCUGCUCCAAAAUACCUAAAAUCAAGCACCAAAACAUUCCAUCAUCAUCCCAACCCUACAAUAGUUAAAGACCCUAAUAUAAUCCCAAAUUAAGUCAAUUUAGAGAAGUACAAAAUCAUAAUGAAAAUUAAAGCUAAGACAAACCCAAUUGCAACUGAAAUCCCAUAAUUCCCUUUAACCUUAGCCUUCUUCUUCAAUAAUGUUGCCUGCAUUUUUUCCUUUUGACCUUUCAAUUGUUGGACAUCCUUUAAAAUAUUAGACUUCUGGUCUUUUGUGUUGCACACUUGCAACUUCAAAUGAUCAACGUGUCUUUCCAACAGCUUCUUCUCUAGCAACAACUAACUAACUGAUUGAUGACUUGUCCCUACCACUCAUUCAUAGUAUCAUCCACCCACGUAAAUGUGUUGCAUCCAUUCAACCCAAUUCUAGGAUUGUAAAAUUUACAGCAGACAAAUCGCCUUCUAGGGUUUCGUGUGGUCCAUGAUUGUUUCUGGCCAACAGGAAUUCCACAUUUGCAGAAUUUUGGGACCUCCAUAGCUGAUUGGUAAGAACUCGACAUCUACCAACACAAACAAAAAAGGUAUUAAUAACUUCAUAUUUAAAGGCAAAAAAAAA